UGGGGAAUUUUGGACAAUGGGCGAAAGCCUGAUCCAGCAAUGCUGCGUGUGUGAAGAAGGCCUUCGGGUUGUAAAGCACUUUUGUCCGGAAAGAAAUCCUUGGCUCUAAUACAGUCGGGGGAUGACGGUACCGGAAGAAUAAGCACCGGCUAACUACGUGCCAGCAGCCGCGGUAAUACGUAGGGUGCAAGCGUUAAUCGGAAUUACUGGGCGUAAAGCGUGCGCAGGCGGUUUGCUAAGACCGAUGUGAAAUCCCCGGGCUCAACCUGGGAACUGCAUUGGUGACUGGCAGGCUAGAGUAUGGCAGAGGGGGGUAGAAUUCCACGUGUAGCAGUGAAAUGCGUAGAGUGUGGAGGAAUACCGAUGGCGAAGGCAGCCCCCUGGGCCAAUACUGACGCUCAUGCACGAAAGCGUGGGGAGCAAACAGGAUUAGAUACCCUGGUAGUCCACGCCCUAAACGAUGUCAACUAGUUGUUGGGGAUUCAUUUCCUUAGUAACGUAGCUAACGCGUGAAGUUGGACCGCCUGGGGAGUACGGUCGCAAGAUU
rnacentral:rRNA from 1 species